rnacentral:rRNA from 1 species
CCUACGGGUGGCAGCAGUGAGGAAUAUUGGUCAAUGGGCGGAAGCCUGAACCAGCCAAGUAGCGUGCAGGAUGACGGCCCUACGGGUUGUAAACUGCUUUUAUACGGGAAUAACGCGCCUUACGUGUAGGGCUUUGCAUGUACCGUAUGAAUAAGGAACGGCUAAUUCCGUGCCAGCAGCCGCGGUAAUACGGAGGGUCCGGGCGUUAUCCGGAUUUAUUGGGUUUAAAGGGAGCGGAGGUGGCAUGUAAAGCGAGCUGUGAAAUUUCCGGGCUCAACCCGGAAAUUGCAGCGCAAACUGGCGAGCUUGAGUCCGCGGGAGGUAGGCGGAAUUCGUGGUGUAGCGGUGAAAUGCUUAGAUAUGACGAAGAACCCCGAUUGCGAAGGCAGCUUACUGCAGUGGAACUGACGCUGAUGCUCGAAAGCGCGGGUAUCGAACAGGAUUAGAUACCCGGGUAGUC